rnacentral:rRNA from 1 species
GAGUUUGAUCUUGGCUCAGAACGAACGCUGGCGGCAUGCCUAACACAUGCAAGUCGAACGGGAUCCGGACUUCGGUUCGGUGAGAGUGGCGGACGGGUGAGUAACGCGUGGGAACCUGCCCAGUGGUGGGGGAUAACUGCGGGAAACUGCAGCUAAUACCGCAUGAGCCCGAGAGGGGAAAGAUUUAUCGCCAUUGGAGGGGCCCGCGUUCGAUUAGGUAGUUGGUGAGGUAAUGGCUCACCAAGCCGACGAUCGAUAGCUGGUCUGAGAGGAUGAUCAGCCACACUGGGACUGAGAUACGGCCCAGACUCCUACGGGAGGCAGCAGUGGGGAAUAUUGGACAAUGGGGGCAACCCUGAUCCAGCAAUGCCGCGUGAGUGAUGAAGGCCUUC